AUUGAACGCUGGCGGCAGGCCUAAUACAUGCAAGUCGAGCGGACGAACGGAGCUCGCGCUUGGCUUCAGUGGCGGACGGGCGAGUAAUGACUAGGAAUCUGCCCGGCAGUUGGGGAUAACGUCCGGUAAGGGGCGCUAAUAUCGUACACGUUCUGAGUGUGAAAGGCGGGGAUCUUCAGAGCUCACCCUAUUUGCUGUCCCUAGUUCGUAUAAGCGAGCUGCAUUAGCUAGUUGGUAAGGUAACGGCCUACCAAGGCUACGAUGCGUAGCCGAUCUGAGAGGAUGAUCAGUCACACUGGAACUGAGACACGGUCCAGACUCCUACGGGAGGCAGCAGUGGGGAAUCUUCGGCAAUGGGCGAAAGCCUGAUGCAGCCAUGCCGCGUGAGUGAAGAAGGUCUUCGGAUUGUAAAACUCUUUAAGUUGGGAAGAAGAUCAGUGAGAGAAUACCUGGCUGUUUUGACGUUACCAACAGAGUAAGCAACGGCUAACUUCGUG
rnacentral:rRNA from 1 species